rnacentral:rRNA from 1 species
UACGUAGGGUGCAAGCGUUGUCCGGAAUUAUUGGGCGUAAAGAGCUCGUAGGCGGUUUGUCGCGUCUGGUGUGAAAAUCCAGGGCUUAACCCUGGACCUGCAUCGGGUACGGGCAGACUAGAGUGCGGUAGGGGAGAUCGGAAUUCCUGGUGUAGCGGUGAAAUGCGCAGAUAUCAGGAGGAACACCGGUGGCGAAGGCGGCCUGCUGGGCAGUUGCUGACACUGAGGCGCGACAGCGUGGGGAGCAAACAGG